GCCCGGCUAGCUCAAUUGGUAGAGCGUGAGACUUUUACAAGGUCUCCGAUUCUGGAACAUAUGAUCGUGUGAUCUCAAGGCUGUGGGUUCGAGCCCCACGUCGGGCG